UUACCUGGGCUUCCCUCUUGUUUCCAGUUGAUCUACCCUGCUGCUACUGCUGCUGCUGCUUCCUUUGCUGAUAGCAGUACCAACAUUUCCUAGCUUCCACUCUAAGAACCAGUGACUUUCCAGGAACUUUCUAGAUUUUCAGAACCAGACUGGGAUUGCUGAGAUACCCAGCCUUGUGCAUUGAGCAACUGCCAUGUUGAGUGUCCCCAGUGAGAGACAGUCACCGUAGGACUGUUCCAACUGCUGAGGCUCCUAGCAUUAAGGACUAAGCUAUUGCUGGCUUCUCAACACUCAGGCCAGCUGAAUCAGAAACUUCAGCACAACAGAUAAAGUAAAGCCAAAAUAGCCUAUGCAGAUAAUGCUGGUUUUCUUAAAGACCUCUCCAAUAAGGAUAUUAAAAUGACAAGUAAUUGUGUUUACUGAACUCCAGAAUGUUUUAAAUGGCUGUGAAGCAAAGCACCUCAAGGAACUGGAAUUGCCUCUAGGAAGGAGUCUCAUGCUGGCAGAAGGAAAAGACUGAAGCCUGGUGCCAGCCAGAGGGAGAACAUGAUCCCAGAAAGAGAUUUCACAGUGCUGAGAACUUGGCAGACAACUUUGCAGAAUGAGACUGAAGCCCAGACAUUAAUGGGCCGAUGAUGGGCAGGGCCACUUUGACCAGGACUGCUGAGAUAUGCAUAACUUUGGCUUCUUUUUGAACUUUAACCUGACGCUGAAGAUGAUAUUGGGGGUCACUAGAUCUCUGUCCCUCUUCCCAAUGUUACCAUCUUCUUGCCACUAUUUGACUCUUUUUAAUUGGCUUAUCAAGGACAGGUGACUGAACCUGGCAUGUUAGGGUUGCCAUCAAGGCAGCAAUAGUAGCAUUUUGGAUAGUGUAUUUUUCUAAUUUCUUGCAUUUCUGUCUUGUUUCUCUAUAAGCUCACCAGAUUAAAUUUUGUUCUGUGGACUGCCUGCUCAUAUCCAUUUCCAAUUUUUCCAUUGAGUUUUCAUGCCUUAUGUAAGAAAGCUUUUAUACAUUCCCCACAAUUUUUACUCAUUAUCACUUCCCCCCUAAUAAUUGUCUAGGAAAGAUGUUUAUCAGUCACCUGGUAUUCUUUAGCCCAACACACACACUAGCUGCCCCCAGCAACAUCCUACCCAGGGCCCGAGAAUAUCCAUUCUCCUUCCCCUUUCCCCCUUUUUGCCCUUUGACCAUUCACUCUGGUCUUUGCAGUUCCUUUUCCAAACAAAGCCUAUGCUGUCCAUUAAGUUAUUUGUUCCUUUGUCAGUCUGUCCUCCUUUGCUCAUGUGGUGUGGUGAGGUAGAGAGGGCAAACACAGUGGGCUCAGGACCUCACACUUCUGUGGUCUCCUUAGACUUCAACCCAGGGAAGUCUGUUACAGAUGUAACAGCUGCCUAGACUGGAGGGAAGGCAGGCAGCCUGUGUUCUCUGCUUGCUGAUUUUUCUAGGCACUUAAUGUACUACAUUGAAUCCCAUGGAAAUAUUUGCAAAAAGCCUCUGUCGUAAGAUAACUUAAUUAAACAUUACUUACAAGAGUUUAA